rnacentral:lncRNA from 1 species
UGAUAUAUUGUUGAACAUGUUUCUGUGUUUUAUUGUUAUGUGAAUGCAUACUUAUUGAGCUUGUACAUGUUACAUCAUAUCUGGUUGCAUUACACAUGUUUGAAGGGAUGAAAACCACAUGCACUUUUGUGAACUUUUAACUGUGUGACAAAGUUGUAGUAAAGUAACUUCAUGGUAUUUGCAUGUGCUUUUGCUUUGUU